rnacentral:misc_RNA from 1 species
CUUCCCUCAAGCACGGCUUGUGUGUUGGGUGGUGUCCCCCCGGGGAUAGUCCCGAAAGGCAGUGGCGGCAUCACGUCUGGUCCUCGAGCGUAUGGGGUUCUAUCACUCGCUCUGGAGGUCAGGUCGGUGCCUGCCUUGAACCCCUCUUAUCUAUCAA